rnacentral:rRNA from 1 species
UACGUAGGGGGCAAGCGUUGUCCGGAUUUAUUGGGCGUAAGGCGCGUGUAGGCGGCCAGGUAGGUCCGUUGUGAAAACUCGAGGCUCAACCUCCAGCCUGCAGUGGGUACGGGCAGACUAGAGUGCGGUAGGGGAGAUUGGAAUUCCUGGUGUAGCGGUGGAAUGCGCAGAUAUCAGGAGGAACACCAAUGGCGAAGGCAGAUCUCUGGGCCGUAACUGACGCUGAGGAGCGAAAGCAUGGGGAGCGAACAGG